UACGUAGGCAGCGAGCGUUGUUCGGAAUUACUGGGCGUAAAGAGUGUGUAGGCGGUGCUCUAAGUUCGGUGUGAAAUCUCCCGGCUUAACUGGGAGGGUGCGCCGGAAACUGGAGUGCUCGAGCGUGGGAGAGGAAAGCGGAAUUCCUGGUGUAGCGGUGAAAUGCGUAGAUAUCAGGAGGAACACCUGCGGUGUAGACGGCUUUCUGGACCAUUGCUGACGCUGAGACUCGAAAGCGUGGGUAGCAAACAGG
rnacentral:rRNA from 1 species